rnacentral:rRNA from 1 species
CCUACGGGAGGCUGCAGUGGGGAAUAUUGGACAAUGGGCGAAAGCCUGAUCCAGCCAUGCCGCGUGUGUGAAGAAGGCCUUCGGGUUGUAAAGCACUUUCAGUGGGGAAGAAAGCCUUGGGGCUAAUACCCUCGAGGAAGGACAUCACCCACAGAAGAAGCACCGGCUAACUCCGUGCCAGCAGCCGCGGUAAUACGGAGGGUGCGAGCGUUAAUCGGAAUUACUGGGCGUAAAGCGCGCGUAGGCGGUCUGAUAAGCCGGGUGUGAAAGCCCCGGGCUCAACCUGGGAACGGCAUCCGGAACUGUCAGGCUAGAGUGCAAGAGAGGAAGGUAGAAUUCCCGGUGUAGCGGUGAAAUGCGUAGAGAUCGGGAGGAAUACCAGUGGCGAAGGCGGCCUUCUGGACUGACACUGACGCUGAGGUGCGAAAGCGUGGGUAGCAAACAGGAUUAGAUACCCUGGUAGUC